GAUGAACGCUGGCGGCGUGCCUAAUACAUGCAAGUCGAGCGAACGGACGAGAAGCUUGCUUCUCUGAUGUUAGCGGCGGACGGGUGAGUAACACGUGGAUAACCUACCUAUAAGACUGGGAUAACUUCGGGAAACCGGAGCUAAUACCGGAUAAUAUUUUGAACCGCAUGGUUCAAAAGUGAAAGACGGUCUUGCUGUCACUUCUAGAUGGAUCCGCGCUGCAUUAGCUAGUUGGUAAGGUAACGGCUUACCAAGGCAACGAUGCGUAGCCGACCUGAGAGGGUGAUCGGCCACACUGGAACGGAGACACGGUCCAGACUCCUGCGGGAGGCAGCAGUAGGGAAUCUUCCGCAAUGGGCGAAAGCCUGACGGAGCAACGCCGCGUGAGUGAUGAAGGUCUUCGGAUCGUAAAACUCUGUUAUUAGGGAAGAACAUAUGUGUAAGUAACUGUGCACAUCUUGACGGUACCUAAUCAGAAAGCCACGGCUAACUACGUG
rnacentral:rRNA from 1 species